rnacentral:sRNA from 1 species
GAUUGCCCGCCUGCCCGUGGGUCAUGGCCUGCCAGCAGUCGCGGUACCACAGCUUCUCGUCCGCGUCGAGGUACGCGCUGGCAGGGAUGAGGGCAGAGAGGAGGGUUUGAGUACUUCUAGAGAGGGAAAUGGCACUUGAUCCGGACUUCGGCACCUCCUGCUGGCCUCUGACCAUUGAUCUAGGGCUCCAGCACCACAGAGUCAAUGGUUGCAGGAACGGUUGGAAUCAGGCUGAUUUAGCCCAGUGAAGACGUUACAUGCUAGCAAAAGGAGACGAGGUUUCACCACGUUGCCCAGGCUGGUUUCGAACUCCUAGACUCAAGCGACCCUCCCACUUCGACCUCUCAAACUGGGAUUACAAGCGUGAACCCCCACACCCGGCCUACAUUACAGCCACGGCCUUCAGGAGUGACCAUAGACGAAUCCUUUCUCACAGAAGACAAGAGCACCCAGAAUCGCAAGCUUCUUCAGAAACGAAGGACACUG